AGCGGACGGGUAGAGCUUGCUUUACCCGUGAGCGGCGAACGGUUGAGUAACACGUAUACAACCUGCCCCGAAGUGGGGGAUAACAGCGGGAAACUGCUGCUAAUACCGCAUGUGGCCGCGGUGGGCAUCCUCGGCUGGCUAAAGGAGCGAUUCGCCUCGGGAUGGGUCUGCGGCCUAUCAGGUAGUUGGUGGGGUAACGGCCUACCAAGCCGACGACGGGUAGCGGGUCUGAGAGGAUGAUCCGCCAGACGGGGACUGAGACACGGCCCCGACUCCUUCGGGAGGCAGCAUUGAGGGAUAUUGCGCAAUGGGCUAAAGCCUGACGCAGCGACUCCGCGUGGGUGAGGAAGGCCUUCUGGUUGUAAAGCCCUUUUAACCGGGACGAUCCCAGACGGUACCGGUUGAAUAAGCCCCGGCUAACUACGUGCCAGCAGCCGCGGUAAUACGUAGGGGGCGAGCGUUGUCCGGAUUUACUGGGCGUAAAGCGCGCGUAGGCGGAUGGUUAAGCGAGGUGUGAAAGCCCCCGGCUCAACCGGGGAAGGUCGCUUCGAACUGGCCGUCUUGAGGGCGUGAGAGGAGUGUGGAAUUCCUGGUGUAUC
rnacentral:rRNA from 1 species